UUCAUUAUUGCCUUCAUGUCCUCCCAAGUGCUAAUAGGUCAUUCCCUAUUUCUCCUUCUAGAGACAUUCAACUUAUCCCACUAAGUUAGUGCAUAACCUUGGAAUUCAAGAGAUGCAAGUUUUACCUUUUUUUCUUCCGAGUAGUUAUGGAUUGAAAAGACUUUUUCCACCUUUGCUUCCCACUCCAAGUAUGAUUCGGGAUUAUUUUUGCCUUGAAAUGUAGGAAUGGUCAUUUUGAUGCUUUUGAGAUUGUCAUCAACUCUACCUCUAUUCCAUCUCCUCCUACUUCCUUGGGAUAUUUCGGAUUAAACCUCUUCAUCAAACUCAUGCCUACUUGCAUUCCUUUGUAAAUUUGCUCUAAGUUGAUCCAGGCACUCCAUCACCGUCUCCAUUGUUUGAUUGAAUUAUCUCAACAAUUGUUGUCUCCAAGCCUUUUGUUCAAAGCUUUCUUGUGGUGCCUCCAUUUCUGUUGUAUCCAUAGGAAAUGAAAAGUUUAAAUCCUCACACCCUUGUUUCCCUUCCUAAAAUGUCACUCCCCAAAUGUAACUCUCGGCUUAAUAUAGUGGGGGAUAGAUUCACUCGUUUCUUACCACUCUUUUCCUUGUUGCAAGCCUUUAAAAAUUCAUUCAAGUCUUACAAAUGCUAAAACAACACUUACUAAGCAAAAACAACUAGAACAAAGAAGGACAAAGUGAAUAAGAAAAAUCAAGAAGAAUGAAAGAAAAAAAAGAAAGAAAGAAAAAAAGGAAGAACCGAUUC
rnacentral:lncRNA from 1 species